CUACGGGCCGCAGCAGUGAGGAAUAUUGCACAAUGGGGGGAACCCUGAUGCAGCAACGCCGCGUGGAGGAUGGCGCAUUUCGGUGUGUAAACUCCUUUUAUAUGUCAAGAAAAUGACGGUAGCAUAUGAAUAAGCACCGGCUAACUCCGUGCCAGCAGCCGCGGUAAUACGGAGGGUGCAAGCGUUACUCGGAAUCACUGGGCGUAAAGGACGCGUAGGCGGGUUGGAAAGUCAGGUGUGAAAUCCUACAGCUUAACUGUAGAACCGCACUUGAAACUUCUAAUCUAGAGUAUGGGAGGGGGAGAUGGAAUUAGUGGUGUAGGGGUAAAAUCCGUAGAUAUCACUAGGAAUACCUAAAGCGAAGGCGAUCUCCUGGAACAUUACUGACGCUAAGGCGUGAAAGCGUGGGGAGCAAACAGGAUUAGAUACCCUCGUAGUC
rnacentral:rRNA from 1 species